rnacentral:rRNA from 1 species
AUUGAACGCUGGCGGCAUGCUUUACACAUGCAAGUCGAGCGGCAGCGCGGGCUUCGGCCUGGCGGCGAGUGGCGAACGGGUGAGUAAUAUAUCGGAACGUACCCAAGAGUGGGGGAUAACGUAGCGAAAGUUACGCUAAUACCGCAUACGAUCUAAGGAUGAAAGCAGGGGAUCGCAAGACCUUGUGCUCCUGGAGCGGCCGAUAUCUGAUUAGCUAGUUGGUGGGGUAAAGGCCCACCAAGGCAACGAUCAGUAGCUGGUCUGAGAGGACGACCAGCCACACUGGAACUGAGACACGGUCCAGACUCCUACGGGAGGCAGCAGUGGGGAAUUUUGGACAAUGGGGGCAACCCUGAUCCAGCAAUGCCGCGUGAGUGAAGAAGGCCUUCGGGUUGUAAAGCUCUUUUGUCAGGGAAGAAAAGGUCGUGGCUAAUAUCCACGACUGCUGACGGUACCUGAAGAAUAAGCACCGGCUAACUACGUGCCAGCCGCCGCAGUAAGAC